AUUGAACGCUGGCGGCAUGCUUUACACAUGCAAGUCGAACGGCAGCACGGGGGCAACCCUGGUGGCGAGUGGCGAACGGGUGAGUAACACAUCGGAACGUGCCCAGUUGUGGGGGAUAACCUAUCGAAAGGUAGGCUAAUACCGCAUGAGCUCGGCGAGAGGAAAGCGGGGGACCCAGCGAUGGGCCUCGCGCGACUGGAGCGGCCGAUGUCCGAUUAGCUAGUUGGGGGGUAAAGGCUUACCAAGGCGACGAUCGGUAGCUGGUCUGAGAGGAUGAUCAGCCACACUGGGACUGAGACACGGCCCAGACUCCUACGGGAGGCAGCAGUGGGGAAUUUUGGACAAUGGGGGCAACCCUGAUCCAGCCAUGCCGCGUGAGUGAAGAAGGCCU
rnacentral:rRNA from 1 species